rnacentral:tRNA from 1 species
GACUAGCUCAGUUGGUUAGAGCAUGUCGCUGAUAACUCCAAGGUCGCAGGUUUGAUUCCCUUAAGGGACA